GAUGAACGCUGGCGGCGUGCCUAAUACAUGCAAGUCGAGCGAAUGGAUUAAGAGCUUGCUCUUAUGAAGUUAGCGGCGGACGGGUGAGUAACACGUGGGUAACCUGCCCAUAAGACUGGGAUAACUCCGGGAAACCGGGGCUAAUACCGGAUAACAUUUUGAACCGCAUGGUUCGAAAUUGAAAGGCGGCUUCGGCUGUCACUUAUGGAUGGACCGGCGUCGCAUUAGCUAGUUGGUGAGGGAACGGCUCACCAAGGCAACGAUGCGUAGCCGACCUGAGAGGGUGAUCGGCCACACUGGGACUGAGACACGGCCCAGACUCCUACGGGAGGCAGCAGUAGGGAAUCUUCCGCAAUGGACGAAAGUCUGACGGAGCUACGCCGCGUGAGUGAUGAAGGCUUUCGGGUCGUAAAACUCUGUUGUUAGGGAAGAACAAGUGCUAGUUGAAUAAGCUGGCACCUUGACGGUACCUAACCAGAAAGCCACGGCUAACUACGUGCCAGCCGCCGCCGUAA
rnacentral:rRNA from 1 species